rnacentral:rRNA from 1 species
UCUGGUUGAUCCUGCCAGUAGUCAUACACUUGCCUCACAGACUAAGCCAUGCAUGUAUAAGUGCUUUGAUUAUUCACCAUUAGACUGUAGACGGCUCAUUACAACAGUUAUUGUAUUUUUGAGAUUGUUUUAUAGGUGGCUACCUGUGGAAAUUCUAGAGCUAAUACAUGUUACCAAAAAUUUGUCUUUUCGUGAAAUAUUACGCAUUUAGUUUUUCAAAUCAAAGUGUUGCCACACAGUGGAUGAAUCAUAAUAAAGCAAGGGGAUCAUUUUACAAGUGACAAUUUAUUCAAGUUUCUGACCUAUCAGUUAGUCUAUAGUGUAUUGGACCAUUGAUGCAUUGACGGGUAUCAGAGAAUUAGGGUUCUGUUCCGGAGAGGGGGCCCGAGAAACAGCUACCACAUCUAAGGAAGGCAGCAGGCGCGUAAAUUACCCAAUUCUGAUAAAGAGAAGUAGUAACAAGAACUGACAAUAUUUUGCCUUAGGGUUAAAUAAUUGUAUUGAGAGCUGAGUAUACACACUAUCGAUAAACUAUUGGAGGGCAAGUCUGGUGCCAGCAGCCGCGGUAAUUCCAGCUCUAAUGGUGUAUGCUAAAAUUGUUGCAGUUAAAAAGCUCGUAGUCGAAUUUUUAAGAAAAUAAAAUUUGUGUGGUUUUAAUCAACUUCAAUGGAAAAAUUAUUUAUCUUAUUUAAUCCUUAUACACUGUUGGAAUUCGUUUUCUGACAGUGAAUUAAGUGUGUGUUUACUUUGAGAAAAUUUGAGUGUUCUAAACAGUCUUACGGUGUUAUCGUAAAGCAUGGAAUGAUAAGUAAUGACAUUGGUUAAUUUCCGUUGGUUUGAGAGGUUGAUGUAAUGAUGUAUAGAGGUAGUCGGAGGUAUUAGUAUUUUUUCGUUAGAGGUGAAAUUCCGGGAUCAACAAAAGACUAACAACUGCAAAAGCAUUUGCCUAGUGUUUGCUCCUUGAUCAAGAACGUAAGUUGGGGGGUCGAAGACGAUCAGAUACCGUCGUAGUCUCAAUUUUAAACUAUAUCAUCUCGGGGUUAAAAAAUAUUUUUGUGAUUUUGUUAGAACCGGUGAAGAAAUUUUGAGGGUUUGGAUUCGGGGGGGAGUAUGGUCGCAAGGCUGAAACUUAAAGGUAUUGACGGAAGGGCACCACAAGAUGUGGAUCUUGUGGCUUAAUUUGACUCAACCCGUGAAAACUUACCCGGUCCAGACAUAGGUAAUAGCUCUUUCUUGAUUCUAUGGGUGGUGGUGCAUGGCCGUUCUUAGUUGGUGGAGUGAUUUGUCUGGUUAAUUCCGUUAACGAACGAGACUAUUACCUACUAAAUAGUAUAAUCUUUAAAUUUAGGAUAGGUGCUUCUUAGAGGGACUGGCUUUUCAUAAAUUGCUGGAGGUUGGUAGCAAUAACAGGUCUGUGAUGCCCUUAGAUGUCCUGGGCAGCGCACGGGCUACAAUAGUAGAGUAACUGAGCUUGUUCUAUUUAGCCCGAAAAGGGCUGUGAAAUCUUAAAACUAUUCUUUAAUUGGGAUCGCGCUUUGAAAUUUUUACGUGUAAACCAGGAAUACCUAGUAAGUGUAUGUCAUCAACGUGCACUGAAUACGUCCCUGCCCUUUGUACACACCGCCCGUCGCUCCUACCGAUUGGAUGAGUUGGUGAGUGGAUUGGAGUGAUAGCAGUCGUCUUUAAUAGAUGGUUGUACUUUUUAAAGAUUUGCAAACUAGAUUAUCUAGAGGAAGGAGAAGUCGUAACAAGGUUUCCGUAGGUGAACCUGCGGAAG